rnacentral:lncRNA from 13 species
AAAAUACGCAACUCUGGGCAGGUUGGGAGCCCAAAGCAUAGUUCAUCAUUGUGCUCAACUGUCUUGAUAGAUUUUUUUAUUUUUAAAGAUUAGAAUAAGAUAGAAAUGACUUAUUUAUCUUUAAUUAUUAUGUGGGAUUUAAAAAAAAAAAUCUGCAGUGAACAUUAUAGGCCAGGUUUUGCUGCUGCUUAUGUGAAUGAUCUUCCUUUUUGCAGGUGACCACUGUCUUGUUGCUGAUGAAACUGCCCUCACAUUUCUGAUGUCAGGAAAAUGAAGUAACAGAGAAAAAGAGAAUUACCUUGAUGCAGAAUUCAUGACUUGGAAACUGAAAGUCUCUCUGAGGUUGGAAUUGAUCCACAGUUACUACAGUAAUUCUGCAACCAGGUAUAAAGAUUCAGGACUAUUCCAAAGACUACGAAUUUCUGGGCGGCCUUUUCAGCAUGGUUCUCCAAUACAUCCGGAGAUCUCUGGAGAAGAAAACAGACCUUGGGUCGAGCUUCACCUGCCCUUGUGGCCUUGCAGGAGCUAG